GACAGAGGAUGCAAGCGUUUUUUAUCCGGAAUGAUUUGGGCGUAAAGCGUCUGUAGGUGGCUUUUUUAAGUCCGCCGUCAAAUCCCAGGGCUCAACCCUGGACAGGCGGUGGAAACUACCAAGCUGGAGUACGGUAGGGGUAGAGGGAAUUUUCCGGUGGAGCGGUGAAAUGCGUAGAGAUCGGAAAGAGCACCAACGGCGAAAAGCACUUCUGCUGGGCCGACACUGACACUGAGAGACGAAAAGCUAGGGGAGCGAAUGGG
rnacentral:rRNA from 1 species